UACGUAGGGGGCAAGCGUUGUCCGGAAUCAUUGGGCGUAAAGGGCGCGUAGGCGGCCUCUGCAAGUCGACUGUGAAAUCUCCGGGCUUAACCCGGAAAGGUCAGCCGAUACUGCAGGGCUAGAGUGCAGAAGGGGCAACUGGAAUUCCCGGUGUAGCGGUGAAAUGUGUAGAGAUCGGGAGGAACACCGGUGGCGAAGGCGGUCUUCUGGACGGUGACUGACGCUGAGGCGCGAAAGCGUGGGGAGCAAACGGG
rnacentral:rRNA from 1 species